rnacentral:rRNA from 1 species
GGAAGUAAAAGUCGUAACAAGGUUUCUGUAGGUGAACCUGCAGAAGGAUCAUUAGUGAAAGUUUCGGGCCUGCCAUACGGACGCAAACACGUCUCUGGCGCCCAUCACUAUAUCCAUACCAACCCCUGUGCACUGUGAUGACGAAUGUCAUCGAACAAAAAAAAACUCGUAUGGUUGAAUGUACGUGAAAUUGUAGGUAUAGCCUACGAACUAUACACAACUUUCGACAACGGAUCUCUUGGUUCUCCCAUCGAUGAAGAACGCAGCGAAACGCGAUAGGUAAUGUGAAUUGCAGAAUUCCGUGAAUCAUCGAAUCUUUGAACGCACCUUGCGCUCCAUGGUAUUCCGUGGAGCAUGCCUGUUUGAGUGCCGCGAAUUCUCCCUCCCCUUACGGUGGCCGAAAGGCCGAAGUAGGGCGGACGGGGUAGGAUGGGUGUUUGCUGCCUGGGGAUUGUACCAGGCUCGCCCGAAAUGCAUAAGCGCCAGGACCCUCGCUACCGCUCUCUAGGGAAGAGUGGCUAAGCGACCGCUGAGCAUGGCAUGAUACGUCAUUUGCUGUGUGUGGGCGGCCGGUUGGAGAGGUGUCUGCUUUACCAGCCCUAUUUUAAUUCUGGUCUCAAAUCAGGUAGGAUCACCCGCUGAACUUAAGCAUAUCAAUAAGCGGAGGA